rnacentral:rRNA from 1 species
GACGAACGCUGGCGGCGUGCUUAACACAUGCAAGUCGAGCGGUAAGGCCCUUUCGGGGGUACACGAGCGGCGAACGGGUGAGUGACACGUGGGUGACCUGCCCUUAGCUCUGGGAUAAGCCUGGGAAACUGGGUCUAAUACCGGAUAUGACUCCAUGACGCAUGUUGUGGGGUGGAAAGCCUUGUGCGGCUAGGGAUGGGCCCGCGGCCUAUCAGCUUGUUGGUGGGGUGANGGCCUACCAAGGCGACGACGGGUAGCCGGCCUGAGAGGGCGACCGGCCACACUGGGACUGAGACACGGCCCAGACUCCUACGGGAGGCAGCAGUGGGGAAUCUUGCGCAAUGGGCGAAAGCCUGACGCAGCGACGCCGCGUGGGGAUGACGG